AUUGAACGCUGGCGGCAUGCCUUACACAUGCAAGUCGAACGGCAGCACGGGAGCAAUCCUGGUGGCGAGUGGCGAACGGGUGAGUAAUAUAUCGGAACGUGCCCAGUCGUGGGGAUAACGUAGCGAAAGCUACGCUAAUACCGCAUACUAUCUAUGGAUGAAAGCGGGGGAUCGCAAGACCUCGCGCGAUUGGAGCGGCCGAUAUCAGAUUAGGUAGUUGGUGAGGUAAAGGCUCACCAAGCCGACGAUCUGUAGCUGGUCUGAGAGGACGACCAGCCACACUGGGACUGAGACACGGCCCAGACUCCUACGGGAGGCAGCAGUGGGGAAUUUUGGACAAUGGGCGCAAGCCUGAUCCAGCAAUGCCGCGUGCAGGAUGAAGGCCUUCGG
rnacentral:rRNA from 1 species